rnacentral:rRNA from 1 species
UACGUAGGGACCGAGCGUUGUCCGGAAUUAUUGGGCGUAAAGAGCGUGUAGGCGGCCAGGUAGGUCCGUUGUGAAAACUGGAGGCUUAACCUCCAGCUGUCGAUGGAAACCAUCUGGCUAGAGUCCGGAAGAGGAGAGUGGAAUUCCUGGUGUAGCGGUGAAAUGCGCAGAUAUCAGGAAGAACACCCGUGGCGAAGGCGGCUCUCUGGGACGGUACUGACGCUGAGACGCGAAAGCGUGGGGAGCGAACAGG